GGAAGUAAAGUCGUAACAAGGUUUCCGUGGGUGAACCUGCGGAAGGAUCAUUAUUGUAUAACCGAGGUGCGAGGGCUGUCGCUGACCCGAAAGGUCGUGCACGCCCGAGUGCCCUCACACACAUCGAUCUCACCCCUAUGUGCACCACCGCGUGGGUCCCCCUUUGGCUUGUUCGGAGGGGGGCUUACGUUUUCACACAAACUUUGUAUGCAGUGUAGAAUGUAUUUUUUGUUUUUGCGAUCACGCAAUCAAUACAACUUUCAACAACGGAUCUCUUGGCUCUC
rnacentral:misc_RNA from 1 species